rnacentral:rRNA from 1 species
AAUGAACGUUGGCGGCGUGGAUUAGGCAUGCAAGUCGAGCGCGAACCCCGCAGGGGGUGAAAGCGGCGAAAGGGAGAGUAACGCGUGGGUAUCUACCCUCGGGACUGGGAUAGCUGCGGGAAACUGCAGGUAAUACCAGAUGACGUCCCCGGACCAAAGGUGUGAUUCCGCCUGAGGAUGAGCCCGCGUCCUAUUAGCUAGUUGGUGGGGUAAUGGCCUACCAAGGCAAUGAUGGGUACUGGGUGUGAGAGCACGACCCAGCUCACUGGGACUGAGACACUGCCCAGACACCUACGGGUGGCUGCAGUCGAGAAUCUUCGGCAAUGGGCGAAAGCCUGACCGAGCGACGCCGCGUGUGGGAUGAAGGCCUUCGGGUUGUAAACCGCUGUCAGAGGGGAGGAAUGGGCGGAGGGUAAUCUCUUCGUUUUGACCUAUCCUCAGAGGAAGUACGGGCUAAGUUCGUGCCAGCCGCCGCUGUAA